UAGCUUUUUUUUUUUUUAACUAUGUAUGAGUGUAUUUUGUCAAAUGCCUUUUCUGCAUCUAUAUGAUCAUGUGAUUUUUAUUAUUUAGCCUGUUAAUAUGAUGGAUUACAUUAAUUGAUUUUGACUAUUGCACCUUCUGUUUUAACCGGCUUUUUCUGACAACACUCCAGCAGGGAAUGAUGUAGGGGAGUGGUGCCACCUCAUUGCUAUCUGAUAGAAGUCCAAGUUCUCCACUUGGCCUCCUUCGACAUCUGGUGGGUGAGGAGCUCCUCAUUACUGCAGGGCAGGGAUGAGAGUUCCAGUUCCCCAUGGUGAGGGUAGCCUCAUAUGUGCUGGGCAAUAAUGAAAGUCCUGGCUCUCCACUAUGCCUCCUCUGAUACCACACCAAGCAGGGAGGGAGAAGAGUGCUUCAUUACUGCUGGCAGGCAUGGAAGUCCAGGCUCCUCUUGUGGCCUCCACUGAUACCACUGGGCUGGGAGUGACCUCAGUGGCCACCAGAGAUGAAAGUUUCAGAUCCUAACCUGGCCUUGGUAUCAAUAGAAUGUUGGAGCACCUUGUUACAGCCUUUGGAGGGUAGAAGUCUAGGAUUCCCACUUGGCCUUUGCUAAUGGAGAUAAAGCCAUAGCUUUUUCUACAGUAUGGCUGGAGUAGAACUGUCUAAAAGUUUUCUGUCUUACUAGGUCAGUCUGAACGUUUUCCUGGUCCUUUGGUUAGAGAAGGCUUUUGUUGGGGCUGGUUUUGUCUGCAUCCAUUGUUGUUUCCAGGUGGCCAGCUUCUUCAAGUCUAGGAUAUUUGAGACAAAAAUAAAACCCAGAGAACUCACCACCCUGUCACUCCUCAGGUCCUGAGGUCACUAGCCUAUCUGGACAUCUUUUCUUCACCUUUCAAAAUUUUCUUGUGUUUGUUUUAUAUAUAAUAUCCAAGGUUUUUAGUAAUACUUAACAGGAAUAAUAGGGAAAAGUAAAUCUCCUCCAUCUCCCCAUAGGUAGAACUUUCUCUGAUAAAUAUUUAACAAUGCGCUAAAAUAUGUUUGUGGUGUUUCUAAAUGCAUAAUUAAAGUUUUAUAUGCUCACAGGUUGGCUUUUAGGACACUAGUAAGAAAAUAUAGUUGUGAUCUGUGUUACACACCAAUGAUUGUUGCCGCUGAUUUUGUCAAAUCUAUAAAAGCCAGAGACAGUGAAUUUACCACAAAUCAAGGUGGGCAAUGGCAGAAGGUUAUGGGGCUUGCUUAAUAAACAAGCCAGAGCUUGUUCAAGACAUGGUGAAACAAGUAAGAAAUCAAGUGGAAACCCCUGGAUUUUCAGUUUCUAUUAAAAUAAGGAUCCAUGAUGACCUUAAAAGAACUGUAGAUCUUUGUCAAAAGGCUGAAGCAACAGGAGUUUCCUGGAUUACAGUCCAUGGAAGAACUGCUGAAGAAAGACAUCAGCCAGUGCACUAUGAUUCCAUUAAAAUAAUUAAGGAAAAUAUGUCUAUACCUGUAAUUGCUAAUGGAGACAUCAGAAGCUUAAAGGAAGCAGAAAAUGUGUGGCGGAUUACUGGGACAGAUGGUAAGAAAUAAGUACUUGGGUUCUUUUAAUUGGGGGGGAAGAAAUGAGAGUGGGGAAGUAAUGUUAAUUUGAUUUUCAUUUGUUUUGUUUAACAUUAAGCCAUAUUUUCCCAUUGUACUGUUUUAAGCUAAGCGAUUUAUUAAAAUGAUGUUAAGUUUUCUACCUAGAAAAACAUGGAUUAUCUUAACUGGGAUAAAUUAAUUCAGUUACUUUUCUGACACCAUCAUAUCUAGUGACCAGUGAAGAAUUUUCCAGAUAGCCUACUAGUAAAAUAAAGCACCUAGAAAUAAGAGUAAGUGAACUUGAGAAUGAUAAGAGCUAAAGGAAUCCCAGAACUGCUAUGCAGUUUCAUUAUUCCCUUAAAUUAUUGGCAUGCCAAGCCCUAUAAUUGCUAGAUGGGAGAAUAUAGAUAAACUGAACUUUAAGCAGCCCAAUUUAUGACAAUCCAGAUUUACCCUAAAGAAAAACUAAAGACUAAUGGUUUAAUAUAGAAAUCUUUAAAAAAUAAAGAUUUCUGUACGUACAUUUAAACUUUCCUGGUUUACAAAAGGUACCAAAAUUAAUUCUUUUGUAAUCGGAUUAAACAUAUUAAUGUAAU
rnacentral:sRNA from 1 species